GAAAAAUUAGUUAAACAAAUAACAUGAGUUUGUCAGGCUUAAAUUAUCAUUAUUGAUGAUAUUUUUCA
rnacentral:tRNA from 1 species